AACGAACGCUGGCGGCAUGCCUAACACAUGCAAGUCGAACGAGACCUUCGGGUCUAGUGGCGCACGGGUGCGUAACGCGUGGGAACCUGCCCUUAGGUUCGGAAUAACUCCCCGAAAGGGGUGCUAAUACCGGAUAAUGUCUUCGGACCAAAGAUUUAUCGCCUUUGGAUGGGCCCGCGUUGGAUUAGCUAGUUGGUAGGGUAAAAGCCUACCAAGGCGACGAUCCAUAGCUGGUCUGAGAGGAUGCUCAGCCACACUGGGACUGAGACACGGCCCAGACUCCUACGGGAGGCAGGAGUGGGGAAUAUUGGACAAUGGGCGAAAGCCUGAUCCAGCAAUGCCGCGUGAGUGAUGAAGGCCUUAGGGUUGUAAAGCUCUUUUACACGGGAUGAUAAUGACAGUACCGGGAGAAUAAGCUCCGGCUAACUCCGUG
rnacentral:rRNA from 1 species